AUGAACGCUGGCGGCGUGCCUAAUACCUGCCAGUCGCGCGAACAGACGAGGGGCUUGCUCCUCUGACGUUAGCGGCGGACGGGUGAGUAACACGUGGAUAACCUACCUAUAAGACUGGGAUAACUUCGGGAAACCGGAGCUAAUACCGGAUAAUAUAUUGAACCGCAUGGUUCAAUAGUGAAAGACGGUUUUGCUGUCACUUAUAGAUGGAUCCGCGCCGCAUUAGCUAGUUGGUAAGGUAACGGCUUACCAAGGCAACGAUGCGUAGCCGACCUGAGAGGGUGAUCGGCCACACUGGAACUGAGACACGGUCCAGACUCCUACGGGAGGCAGCAGUAGGGAAUCUUCCGCAAUGGGCGAAAGCCUGACGGAGCAACGCCGCGUGAGUGAUGAAGGUCUUCGGGUCGUAAAACCCUGUUAUUAGGGAAGAACAAAUGUGUAAGUAACUAUGCACGUCUUGACGGUACCUAAUCAGAAAGCCACGGCUAACUACGUG
rnacentral:rRNA from 1 species